rnacentral:pre_miRNA from 1 species
AUGACCUAUGAAUUGACAGCCAGUCCUUCUGCCGCGCCCUGGCUGUCAGUUCUGUAGGGCACAG